UCGGCCCAAUAUUAUGUAUAAAUUUUCACAUAGAAAUUUUUCAAACUGAUAUUCAUAUAGUCAGACUGUUUUCGCUUUAGCAGCUUUUCCGAUAGCCAUGUUCAAUUAUACCAGUAUGAGUUUCUACGGAUUAUUUUAGUUAUUAAUUCCGUGUAGUGGUUGUUCCAGAGUUUCAAUGUUAGCAAGACGAUUUCAAAAAUUACCAUCCAUGCGCUGAAUCUAACGAACUGUUUUACCCUUUCCCCGCCUUCCACCGUUUGUUCGACGUUGCCGUCGAUUUGUCAGAUAAAUCCUUCUUUACCAAACUCAUUCUGCAUGCCCUGGCCGGCAGCACCCCUGUCGUUGCGUACAGUAUUUUAUUAACCUUCCAAAUCGAGGGUAUCUCCGCUCACGAGGGCGCGGAAAAUCAUAGUGUCACGUUUCAUAUGAUUGUUGUGGACGAUACGGAUCCGUAGAGCUACAUUGUUAUCGGAUCCGUGGAGUAGCUGCUGGUGCUGGUGUUCUUUCGGGGCACGACUGACCCAUGUGGGAUUCGUGCUGUCGACCCGGCUGGCGCGGGCGCGAAUGGAUGCUGCGAAGCGUGAAUACGAGACGUGACAAUGACGCACCGUGGGCAUCUUGGGGACAAAAUUGACGUUCAGUUAUGGCCAGUUUGAACACCGGUUCGCCUUUCGCGUUGCGGAUGAGAGGGUAGCGCCGUCGGAUAAGUUUGCUCUCGGAUGCAGGAAUACGGAAUCGUACUGCGGUUUGUGGCGCUUCCGCCGUCCACCGAUUUGGCCAUUUGGCUGUUGACCCGGCUGGCGCGGGCGCGAAUGGAUCCUGUGAAGCGUGGUUAUGAGAUUGACUACGAGCGGAUGGGGCUGUCGGAUGAGUACGCCUUCGCGGUUUACUCUGCCCAGAGAUCGCAUGCAGGAAGGCAGAAACGUACUGCGGUUCGUGGUGGUUCCGCCAACCGAUGAUUUGGCCCCUGUCACGGACUGCGUCAAUGUCGAGCAUCCAGCAUGCGGGCGUCUAGCUCGACUUCCGAUCACAACGAAGAGGAGUUUGGAGCGACAGCCGCAGUGUCGAAAGACUUCUACGCUGACAAGAUCAUGCACGAACUGGAUUCCAUGAAAUGCGCCACCCGGCAAAUGAUGUUGAUGCGAAAACAGUUUUGCAAGGUUGUUGCACGGCAUGGGAACCCGGCUCGUAGUUGUUCGAACAAAGUGCCGCACGUGUUUGUGAUAAUUAUUGCCGCACAUGUAGCGCAGAAAAAAAAGAUUUUCUGGGUGAAGACUUUCGCAUGAUGAGAGUGUGCAUCAUUUAAAUGAGUCAUUUAUCAUCAUCAUCAUCAUCAUGAGAGUGUGCAUCAUCAUUUGUCUUGCCAUUUAAAUUUUGACCAGUUGUUGUGAAGCUCGAGAAUUGCGUCGGGAAUGGAUGACGUCCGAAAUUGGUUAAUUUAUUAGUUUUUAAUCGGAAUCUCAUUCAUAUUUUUGAGUCGAAUGCACAGAAAUAUCAUCGUUUGGCAGUGUGAUUUAGUGGAGGAAGAACAGAUUAUUUCAGUCAUUCGCAAUUUAAAAUUGUUCCUUAAAAUUAUACUUGACUCAUUACAUACCCGAAUGUAAAGAAAUUUAAUAUCUACGUUCUGCUUCCUAUUUUGCAGUCAUAAACUGCCUUGCAUAUGUAUCUACUAUCUCCAUGUAAUAAUAUAUGUAUUAGUUGUUAUUUUUUCAAGUAAUGUAGCGCUGUAUGUAUGGCUAGCGGUUGGGAAUGGUCACCACGUUUUAUUAGUUCGUUUAUUUGUUCCAGUUAUACGAAUAUGUU